CCUACGGGAGUCAGCAGUGAGGAAUAUUGGUCAAUGGACGAGAGUCUGAACCAGCCAAGUAGCGUGAAGGAUGACUGCCCUAUGGGUUGUAAACUUCUUUUAUAUGGGAAUAAAAUGUUCCACGUGUGGGAUUUUGUAUGUACCAUAUGAAUAAGUAUCGGCUAACUCCGUGCCAGCAGCCGCGGUAAUACGGAGGAUCCGAGCGUUAUCCGGAUUUAUUGGGUUUAAAGGGAGCGUAGGUGGAUUGUUAAGUCAGUUGUGAAAGUUUGCGGCUCAACCGUAAAAUUGCAGUUGAAACUGGCAGUCUUGAGUACAGUAGAGGUGGGCGGAAUUCGUGGUGUAGCGGUGAAAUGCUUAGAUAUCACGAAGAACUCCGAUUGCGAAGGCAGUUCACUGGACUGCAACUGACACUGAGGCUCGAAAGUGUGGGUAUCAAACAGGAUUAGAUACCCGGGUAGUC
rnacentral:rRNA from 1 species